rnacentral:lncRNA from 1 species
GACGACCCUGUUGAUGUGCUUAUCAGGUAGAGAUCAGCUUCCGAUGAGCAGAACAGAGAACCUGAAUGACACCGAUGUUAUGAGUUAACUUUUGUUUCUCAAAAGAAGAUAUGUGGAUCUCUGGUCUAAUUACUAGGUCCUUGAUCUACUUUGAGUUGAGUUUGGUGCAUGGUGUGUGAGAGAGAGGGGUUUAGUUUCAUUUUGCUGCAUAAGGAUUUCCAGUUCUCCCAGCACCAUUCAUUGAAGAGGCUGUCUUUUCUCCCAAUGUAUGUUUUUGGUACCUUUGUCUAGUAUAAGAUAACUUCAUUUAUGUGGGUUGUCUCUGUGUUCUCUAUUCUGUACCACUGGUCUACAUGUCUAUUUUGGUGCCAAUACCAUGCCAUUUUUGUUACUAUACCUUUGUAUUAUAGUUUAAAGUCUGGUAUUGUGAUGCCUCCUGCUCUUCUUGCUAAGGAUUGCUUUGGCUAUUCUGGGUCUCUUAUUUUUCCAAAUGAGUUUCAUGAUUGCUUUUUCUAUUUCUAUAAGGAACGAUGGGGGUUGAGGUUGUGCCUCUGCAGUACAGCGCUUGCCUAGCAUGUGCGAGGAGGCCCUGGGUUCAAUCCUCAGCACCACAUAAAAAUAAAAAAAAUAUAAGGAAUGAUGUUGGGAUUUUAAUUGGCAUCACAUUGAAUGUGUAUAGAGCUUUGGGUAGUGUGGCCAUUUUGACAAUAUUAAUUCUGACUAUCCAAGAGCAUGGGAGAUCUUUGCAUCUUCUAAGAUCUUCUUCUAUUUUUUUCUUCAGUGUUCUGUAGUUUUCAUCGUAGAGGUCUUGCCACACACACGUCAGAUAGAGCACUAAUCUUCAGGAUAUAUAAAGAACUCAGAAACAUUAACACCAAAAAAACCCCUCAAACAAUCCAAUCAAUAAAUGAGCUAUGGAGCUGAACAGACACUCCUCAGAAGAAGAUAUACAAUCAAUCAACAAAUAUAUGAAAAAAAUGUUCAAAGUCUCUAGUAAUUAGAGAAAUGCAAAUCAAAAUCACUCUUAAGAUUUCAUCUCUCUCCAGACAGAAUGGCAGUUAACAAGAAUACAAACAACAGUAAGUAUUGGCAAGGAUGUGGGGGGAAAGGCACACUCAUACACUGCUGGUGGGACUGCAAAUUGGUGCAACAAAUCUGGAUAGCAGUAUGGAGAUUCCUUAAAAAACUUGGAAUGGAACCACCAUUUGACCCAGCUAUUCCACUCCUCAGUUAUACCCAAAGGAUUUAAAAUCAGCAUAGUACAGGGACACAGCCACAUCAAUGUUUAGUGGCUUAAUUCACAAUAGCUAAAUUGGAACCAACCUAGAUACCCUUCAAUAGAUGAAUGGAUAAAGAAAAUAUGGUAUAUAUACACAAUGGAAUAUUACUCAGCAUUAAAAGAGAAUAAAAUUAUGGCAUUUGCAAGUAAAUGGAUGGAGUUAGAGAAGAUCAUGCAAAGUGAAGUAAGUCAGUCUCCAAAAACCAAAGGCCAAAUGUUC